AGUGAACGCUGGCGGUAGGCCUAACACAUGCAAGUCGAACGGCAGCACAGUAAGAGCUUGCUCUUACGGGUGGCGAGUGGCGGACGGGUGAGGAAUACAUCGGAAUCUACUUUUUCGUGGGGGAUGACGUAGGGAAACUUACGCUAAUACCGCAUACGACCUACGGGUGAAAGCAGGGGAUCUUCGGACCUUGCGCGAUUGAAUGAGCCGACGUCGGAUUAGCUAGUUGGCGGGGUAAAGGCCCACCAAGGCGACGAUCCGUAGCUGGUCUGAGAGGAUGAUCAGCCACACUGGAACUGAGACACGGUCCAGACUCCUACGGGAGGCAGCAGUGGGGAAUAUUGGACAAUGGGCGCAAGCCUGAUCCAGCCAUACCGCGUGGGUGAAGAAGGCCUUCGGGUUGUAAAGCCCUUUUGUUGGGAAAGAAAAGCAGCAGGUUAAUACCCCGCUGUUCUGACGGUACCCAAAGAAUAAGCACCGGCUAACUUCGUG
rnacentral:rRNA from 1 species